UACGUAGGUGGCGAGCGUUGUCCGGAAUUACUGGGCGUAAAGCGCGUGUAGGCGGGAGGCCAAGUCUGCGGUGAAAUUGCUCGGCUCAACUGGGCGGAGUCCGUGGAAGCUGGUCACCUGGAGGACGGUAGAGGCGAGUGGAAUUCCCGGUGUAGUGGUGAAAUGCGUAGAGAUCGGGAGGAACACCAGUGGCGAAGGCGGCUCGCUGGGCCGGACCUGACGCUGAGACGCGAAGGCGUGGGGAGCGAACGGG
rnacentral:rRNA from 1 species